rnacentral:lncRNA from 1 species
CAGGGGAGUCGUGCGCGGCGGAAGGGGACACGGAGCGGACUCGCGUGCGUAGCGGAGCCGCUCUUGCAGGCAGCGCCGUCGCUCGGUCCACGGUUGGGGGACCCACGAGGUGCCGGGUCCUGUCCCCGGAACAAUGGGACUCGGCGCGCGAGGUGCUCUGGCCGCGCUGCUCCUGGGCGCGCUGCUGCUGGGCGUGCUGCUCCUGGGCGCGCUGCAGGUGCUGGCGCUGCCAGAGGCCGCCGUGGGCGAACUGGCGACGGAGGGAUCUCCAGUGUCUGUGCAAAACUCCAGUGCUAACCUAACAGGUGAGUUUCAAAAGAUUCCAGAAAUGGGUUUUCUUCAGUCUAGGAUGAGGUAAAGCAAUAACAGCCAGGGAAGUACCUGUAAGCUGGUGCAUGGACCUGUCUGAACAUGUAUUACCCACCCACAAAUCCCUGGGGUCUAUCUGAAGGGCUGCCUGUGGGUGGCAUUAAUGAGUGACACUUCACUGAUUACGAGUGUUUCUCAGUCUAGCAAAGAUGUAAAUAAAUUCUAAAACAAAAAGCA